rnacentral:rRNA from 1 species
AGUGAACGCUGGCGGUAGGCCUAACACAUGCAAGUCGAACGGCAGCACAGUAAGAGCUUGCUCUUGCGGGUGGCGAGCGGCGGACGGGUGAGGAAUACAUCGGAAUCUACUUUUUCGUGGGGGAUAACGUAGGGAAACUUACGCUAAUACCGCAUACGACCUACGGGCGAAAGCAGGGGAUCUUCGGACCUUGCGCGAUUGAAUGAGCCGAUGUCGGAUUAGCUAGUUGGCGGGGUAAAGGCCCACCAAGGCGACGAUCCGUAGCUGGUCUGAGAGGAUGAUCAGCCACACUGGAACUGAGACACGGUCCAGACUCCUACGGGAGGCAGCAGUGGGGAAUAUUGGACAAUGGGCGCAAGCCUGAUCCAGCCAUACCGCGUGGGUGAAGAAGGCCUUCGGGUUGUAAAGCCCUUUUGUUGGGAAAGAAAAGCAGCAGGUUAAUACCCCGCUGUUCUGACGGUACCCAAAGAAUAAGCACCGGCUAACUUCGUG